GUAGUGGUUAACAUGCCUGCCUGUCACGCAGGAGAUCGCCGGUUCGACCCCGGUCGGG
rnacentral:tRNA from 1 species